rnacentral:rRNA from 1 species
UACGUAGGGUGCAAGCGUUGUUCGGAAUUAUUGGGCGUAAAGGGUGCGUAGGCGGUUUGGUAAGUCUGAUGUGAAAUCUAUGGGCUCAACUCAUAGUCUGCAUCGGAAACUGCCGGGCUUGAGUAUGGGAGAGGUGAGUGGAAUUCCUGGUGUAGCGGUGAAAUGCGUAGAUAUCAGGAGGAACACCUGUGGCGAAAGCGGCUCACUGGACCAUAACUGACGCUGAUGCACGAAAGCUAGGGGAGCAAACAGG